GACGAACGCUGGCGGCGUGCUUAACACAUGCAAGUCGAACGGUGAACGAGGGAGCUUGCUCCCUCCGGAUCAGUGGCGAACGGGUGAGUAACACGUGAGCAAUCUGCCCCGAACUCUGGGAUAAGCGUUGGAAACGACGUCUAAUACCGGAUACGACGCGGGAGGGCAUCCUCUCCGCGUGGAAAGAACUUCGGUUCGGGAUGGGCUCGCGGCCUAUCAGCUUGUUGGUGAGGUAACGGCUCACCAAGGCGACGACGGGUAGCCGGCCUGAGAGGGUGACCGGCCACAAUGGGACUGAGGGACGGCCCAGACUCCUACGGGGGGCAGCAGUGGGGAAUAUUGCACAAUGGGCGCAAGCCUGAUGCAGCAACGCCGCGUGAGGGACGACGGCCUUCGGGUUGUAAACCUCUUUUAGCAGGGAAGAAGCGAAAGUGACGGUACCUGCAGAAAAAGCACCGGCUAACUACGUG
rnacentral:rRNA from 1 species